rnacentral:rRNA from 1 species
CAGUCGCCGCGGGAAUACGUAGGGUGCGAGCGUUAAUCGGAAUUACUGGGCGUAAAGCGUGCGCAGGCGGUUGUGUAAGACGGGUGUGAAAUCCCCGGGCUUAACCUGGGAACUGCGCUUGUGACUGCACAGCUAGAGUAUGGCAGAGGGGGGUGGAAUUCCACGUGUAGCAGUGAAAUGCGUAGAGAUGUGGAGGAACACCGAUGGCGAAGGCAGCCCCCUGGGCCAAUACUGACGCUCAUGCACGGAAGCGUGGGGAGCAAACAGGAUUAGAUACCCCCGUAGUCCCUGUCUCUUAUAC